CAGACGUGUAGCUGAUUGGCCGGUUUUGGCCGUGUAGAUUGACGACCAAAUCGUUAUCAGUUUUAUACUUUUUGCUUUACUAGCAUGUGUGAAUCAAGAUUGAGACGACAGUAUUUUCAGAUACUUUUCAAUCCUUUUUCAACCUUUCCUACCUUUCCUAAGCUGUUUUCAGACCUCGAGGAGAUGUUACGUUCUCAAAGGUACAUGGAGCAGGAAGAAUGCUGUUUUUCUGUUGGUGAAGUCAACAUGUAACCUGAGAACCUCAACGAGAGGAAGCACCUUAUAAUUCAAAAUUUCGAAAACAUUCCCCUGGUGUCUCGCCUCCAAAGAACCGCAUCUUACUUGGGAAGCUUUGAUGGGUUUGAAGGGUCUGUAAUGUUCCCAGAUGUCCUCAUAUGUUCAGAGGCCAGGAAUCGUG
ensembl:lncRNA